CCUAAGUCCUUAGUUCCAGUUUGUGCAAAACAGAAUCAUGUCUCCUUCCUCUGCUGACUAUGUAUCUCCAAAGAAGUCAAGGGUCCUGCAGGACAAUUCUUUGUGAUCUGCAAUGUUGCACAUUGGCCAGCUUGUUUUCUAGUACCCCACAUUGAUUGAGAUUUCCAGAAGUACGAAUUCUUCAGGUCUGGAGUCCAUCCUGCUCAUCUUUUAAGAAAUGCACAAUGCCUGUGAUUAAACCUCCAGCCAAGACCUACAGAUAAACACAAAGCAACAAAAACUGAUGUAUAUAGUAGAAGAUGUAAACAUGAAACAGAACAAAAUUUAUGUUAUAUUUAAUAAAAACAGCAAAUAAAGUGCAAAUUAUAUACUAUUAAGAGAAAAAUAAAUCAAUGACCAGAAAUUAACAUAAAAGGAAUACAGAUGGUGGAGUUAAUAGUUAAAGACAUUAAAACAACUGUUAUAAGCACAUUUUUUAAAAUGGUAACAGAUACCAAACUUUUCAGCCUUUAUAAUUCCCAGCUCCUGGAAGUUUCAUAGGUCUGAGAUGUUAUGACUCUUGCUAUACGCAGUCCACUAAUACCCUGUCCUAACUCACCACAACUUCAUGCUUGUCAGUCACACUGUAAUUCCAAACCAGUAAUAACCUUUCUUAAAGCUCCACAUCUGACUCAUUUUGAGAUUUCUCCUUAAUUGUGAUUAGUUUUGUGCAAUGUGAUUAUAAUGAUGAACCUGAGUAUUUACUAUUUAUUAGUCCUAGGGUUCACUUAAAUUUUUGGAUCUGUAUUUUUAUAAUCUUUAUAGUAAAAAUUUCAACCACUAGUUUUCACAUAACUUUUUUUUAUUCAGUUCCUUGGCAUCCACCAUGACUCUGCCCAUUUGUGUUUUCAAUACUCACAGAUAUCAGGGCCAGUGGUGCUAUUAGACUCUCCUGAGAGUCUAUUCAUUUUUUCAACAGUGUUUUCUUUUCUCUUUCAGUUUGGAUAACUUCCAUUUCUGGGCCUUCAAAGGGAGUAAUCCAUUUUCCUGUAAUGUCUUGUCUGGCAUCAAUUCAGUGUGUUUCUCAAUAUCGACACUGUAUUUUUUUUUUAAUUUUUAGAUGUUUCUAAAUUGAAGUUAACACAUUUGAUCUGUUUUCUGGAUUCUUGCACAUAUGGUUUUCAGUAAUGAUAACUGUUGUAAUGUUCUGCCUGCUAACUCCAUCAUCCGUAUUGUUUUACUCCUUUUGAAUUAACUUUUCUUUUCCUUAAUGGAAUAUAUCUUGCUGCCUAAACUGGUUUUUGUUGGCUAUCAAUAAUUGUGAAUUAUACAAUUUUGGUACUGAAUGUUUUUGUAGUUCUAUAAAAGUUCCUGAGAUUUC